rnacentral:rRNA from 1 species
ACGCUAGCGGCGGGCUUAACACAUGCAAGUCGAACGCACGACCUGACUUCGGUCAGUUAGUGAGUGGCGCACGGGUGAGUAACACGUAGGUAACGUGCCUCGGAACGGGGGAUAACAGGCCGAAAGGCCUGCUAAUACCGCAUAAGACCACAGUGUCCUCGGACACAGUGGUAAAAGAUGGGGAUCUCUUCGGAGACCUGUCAUUCCGAGAGCGGCCUGCGGCCCAUUAGCUAGUAGGUGGGGUAAUGGCCCACCUAGGCUUUGAUGGGUAGCUGGUUUGAGAGAAUGAUCAGCCACACUGGAACUGAGACACGGUCCAGACUCCUACGGGAGGCAGCAGUGGGGAAUAUUGCGCAAUGGGCGAAAGCCUGACGCAGCCACGCCGCGUGAGUGACGAAGGCCUUCGGGUUGUAAAGCUCUGUCGCAAGGGAAGAAAUACUUGGAGUUAAUAGCUUCAGGGGAUGACGGUACCUUGCAAGAAAGCACCGGCUAACUCCGUGCCAGCAGCCGCGGUAAUACGGAGGGUGCAAGCGUUGUUCGGAUUCACUGGGCGUAAAGCGUGCGUAGGCGGCCAAGUAAGUCGGAUGUGAAAGCCCAGGGCUCAACCCUGGAACUGCAUCCGAUACUGCCUGGCUUGAGUGUGGGAGAGGGAAGCGGAAUUCCUGGUGUAGCGGUGAAAUGCGUAGAUAUCAGGAGGAACACCCGUGGCGAAAGCGGCUUCCUGGCCCAAAACUGACGCUGAGGCACGAGAGCGUGGGGAGCAAACAGGAUUAGAUACCCUGGUAGUCCACGCCGUAAACGAUGAGUGCUAGGUGUUGGGAGUGUUGACCCUCUCAGUGCCGUCGCUAACGCAUUAAGCACUCCGCCUGGGGAGUACGGCCGC